rnacentral:rRNA from 1 species
CCUACGGGGUGCUGCAGUGGGGGAUAUUGCACAAUGGGGGGAACCCUGAUGCAGCGACGCCGCGUGGGUGAAGAAGCGCCUCGGCGCGUAAAGCCCUGUCAGCAGGGAAGAAAAUGACGGUACCUGAAGAAGAAGCCCCGGCUAACUACGUGCCAGCAGCCGCGGUAAUACGUAGGGGGCAAGCGUUAUCCGGAUUUACUGGUUGUAAAGGGGGCGCAGACGGCGAUGCAAGCCAGGAGUGAAAGCCCGGGGCUCAACCCCGGGACUGCUCUUGGAACUGCGUGGCUGGAGUGCAGGAGGGGCAGGCGGAAUUCCUGGUGUAGCGGUGAAAUGCGUAGAUAUCAGGAGGAACACCGGUGGCGAAGGCGGCCUGCUGGACUGCAACUGACGUUGAGGCCCGAAAGCGUGGGGAGCAAACAGGAUUAGAUACCCCAGUAGUC